GUUUGAUCCUGGCUCAGGAUGAACGCUAGCUACAGGCUUAACACAUGCAAGUCGAGGGGAAACGAUAUUGAAAGCUUGCUUUCGAUAGGCGUCGACCGGCGCACGGGUGAGUAACGCGUAUCCAACCUGCCCAUAACUAAGGGAUAAUCCGUAGAAAUGCGGUCUAAUACCUUAUGUGAUCCGAGGAAGACAUCUGAUUUGGAUUAAAGAUUUAUCGGUUAUGGAUGGGGAUGCGUCUGAUUAGAUUGUUGGCGGGGCAACGGCCCACCAAGUCUGCGAUCAGUAGGGGUUCUGAGAGGAAGGUCCCCCACAUUGGAACUGAGACACGGUCCAAACUCCUACGGGAGGCAGCAGUGAGGAAUAUUGGUCAAUGGGCGGGAGCCUGAACCAGCCAAGUAGCGUGCAGGAUGACGGCCCUAUGGGUUGUAAACUGCUUUUGUAUGGGGAUAAAUUGCUCCACGUGUGGAGUAUUGCAGGUACCAUACGAAUAAGGACCGGCUAAUUCCGUGCCAGCAGCCGCGGUAAUACGGAAGGUCCGGGCGUUAUCCGGAUUUAUUGGGUUUAAAGGGAGCGUANGCCGUGGAUUAAGUGUGUUGUGAAAUGUAGGCGCUCAACGUCUGACUUGCAGCGCAUACUGGNCCACUAGAGUGCGCGCAACGCGGGCGGAAUUUGUCGUGUAGCGGUGAAAUGCUUAGAU
rnacentral:rRNA from 1 species